rnacentral:lncRNA from 1 species
AACGGAGGAGUAAGCAAGCUCUCAGUCCAAUUUCCCAAGUAUCUUUUCCUCCCCUUUUCAAACAGGGAUCCAGGCGACACUCGUGGCAGACGAUCUCAACACCAAAAGAACAGCAGCUGCCAGCUGCAUAAAACAGAUUGAGGCCUGCAAAUUGACUGAAAUGAUGACUACUCUUAACCAGACAUCUCAUUUUUCCACUUCUGACAGGCUGAGAUCUGCAAACCUCUGGGUCUCAAGAGAUGAAGGCUACAUUAGCCAACUAAGACGACAAACUCAACUCUUCCUUGUCAUUAAAUAAUUUGCCAGUUAUAAAUGGUUUGGUAACUUUACAGAAUUUAAGUACAUGUAAUGUUUAAAUUUCCCCAUUAAAUGUAAGAGGCAAAGAAAAUCCUUUUAAAUAACUAAGCAGAGGAUAUGAAAGGGGAGCCAAGAAUAGACAGAACUGUUACUUUUCAAAGAACCUUCGCUCUUUAUUCAAACAAAUAUUUACACAAUUGAAGGCAACGGCAAGAGAGAUAUAGCCAUUCUGUUAAAAUAGUGGGCAACUCUAACGGUUUAUUUAUCCCAAAUCCGACAGUUCUGUUGCUAACCUACCAGGAACCAAGAAUUCAAGUGUUCACAGGGCAAAAGUUUAACCUUCUGAAACUGUGGACCUCAUUUAGAUCUCUCCCAGCCGAAUUCAAACGUUAGAAUCCCAGAGACAUAUCUCGAACGCCCAAAUUAAACCAAACUAGGAAGCUUAAAAUUACACGUCCAAUACUUGAAAACCUACAUCUGUAACUUACACGUUCAUAUUACGAAGGGAAAUGUGGCUGACAAAUAUUUACACUAAAAAGACUCCACAUUUUUAUGCCUCGUCUAGUUACACUCCCAGCUGUGCCUGGCUAUGACUAGUUGUGCAUUCUAGAGCUCUUUAGAGCUACUUCAGAGUUGCAGGAUAAAGAUUUCUAGGGAAGAGGGCAGGGCCAGGCGCCCGGAGGAUUUCCAGCCACGGGUAGUUUACCGAGAGAAAAAGCUGCGGGCGUCGCUCCCUCUUUUACAUAAGAAAGGCUAAGCUCUAAAAGGCAGACAACUUCUUCCUGGCCCUUCGGAGAAGCUAGCCCUUGGAACCUAGGCCCUGAGUCGUGAGGAAGAGGAAAGACUACAUGGGGUCACUAUGUAAGGUGUUCCUGGUGACAGCUCCUGCUGAGGACCCAGCUGACAGCAAGCACCAACCUCCAGACAACAAGAGCUUUCUUCUGGCACAUCUGGUUUAUGUGAAUACAUUAGUGAGUUUCCCAGGAAGCCGCAGCAUCACACAAAGGCCCAUGAUCAUUUCACCAGGUAAUGAUUAAUGUCAUGUUACAGUUUCACAAUAUCAUAAUUGAAUAAUCAAUUAACUAAGGUUUUGUGAGUACUAUGUGUGAAGAACAAUAAUUUAUUUAUGUGACUAUUCCUCCUCGAUGACAGCAGUCAGUUCCUUCUGGAAAGUAUAGAUUAAGCCAUUGCAUUUCUUGGUAAAUAAAUAUACUAGUCAAAGACCAAGAUAUUAUUUAUGUGUAUGUACUAAUGACUUUAACAGAGAUAUAAACCCUUAUUUUAGGAAUUGUUUAGUACUAGUAGUAGAGUUCUAAAUGGAUGCUAUAUAAAGAAUUUGCUCUUUAUUAUAUUAGUUAUGAGAAUUACAACCAGUGAAUCAUAGUAACUGGAAAAUACCUUAGGGUUAUAAAAGGAAAUCCAUUAAUUGUACAAAUUAAAUAUUUGAAGACCAAAGAGGGCAGGAGACUUAUCCAGGCCUCCUGAGUCUUUAGAGUUUUUAAUUAGAGCACCAGUCCAUGCAGAUUGUAUUUGUCUUCUUGAAGCUGUGACUCAUGAGAUAUACAUGUAUUGCUUAAGAAUACAUGUUUACUCUUUCUGCACUACCUGAGUGACAGGAUCAUCCAUGUCCCAGACCCCAG